GAGUUUCCGUGAGGUUUUUUCAGUGGGAUUAUUUGUGUCCCUGUGGCUCUUCAGGGAGCUUGCAGAAUUCUAGCUAAAGAUAAGAAGGGCAUCGCUUCAAAUGGGAGGCCAAUCAAUGCAGCAUUAGGAAGGCUUCAUUCAGCUCAGCACCACCUUGGGCAAAGAUGGGCUGUCUGGAAAGCUGGACUCAGCCUGGAGCAUGUUCCCCAGAUUGCUAUUUUGUGAAGGCUUCCGCAUACAAAUGACUCAGAUCCAAACAUUCAAAAAUGAUCUUGGAGGGCCAUCUGGUUCUUGCUGGUUCUAAAAGCUUCCUUCAGCCUGGAGUAUGGAUCCAGUACAAAAGAUAGUGAGAGCUGUUCAUUGAGGUUUAACAUGUUCCACUGACCGAGGCUAGAAGCUGGCUUUAAAAAAUAGCCAACACUGAUGCUCCAAGGGCCAAUUGCUGAUGCUUGUCACAGUGAAGAUCCCGGUGUUACACAUCCAAUCGUUCACCUCCUUCCAAGACUAUGACAUUCCAGGAAACCUUCACUGCUAAGAGGAACUAAGAUCUAGAGUAUCUCCUCGAGGAAGUACAACUGGAUUCUCCCUCCUUGGUUCUUCCCUGGACCAAGGACAGAAGAAUCAUUCAACACAGAGGCUAUUGACAAAAGGGGCAUAUUUGGUGCAAACAGGGGUAAUUAAUAAGAAGUCCAGUGGCUCACACCUGCGAUCCCAGCACUUUGGGAGGCUGAGAUGGGCAGAUUGCUCGAGCCCAGGAAUUCAAGACCAACCUGGGCAACAUGGCAAAACCCCAUCUCUACAAAAAUACAAAAAUUAACCAGAUGUGAUGGUUCAUGCCUGUAGUCCCAGCUACUCUGGAGGCUGAUGUGGGAGGAUCGCUUGAGCCUAGGAAGUCAAGGCUGCAGUGAGUCAUGAUUGCUCCGCUCCACUGCACUCUGGCCUUGAUGAUAGAGUGAGAACCAGUCUCAAAAAAAAAAAGGUCAUUUUCUAAGCAUUUGUUGAUUCAAUACUGCCCACUAUGUACACUGACAAUUAGACAUAAUUUAAUUUCAGCUCAUGGUAUGAAUGGAGACAAAAUGAAAUCAUUUUAAUGCACAUUAAGGCAAUAUAGUGCCCUUAAAUAAAAAGUUGAAGUUCAUAAGGGACCAUCAUUAAGAUUUAACUUUGUAACAAAUAUUUUGUUUUUGUUUGUUUUAUUUUUAGAUUUGCAUAAUAAAACAUUCAUAUUCUUACC
rnacentral:lncRNA from 1 species